UCAGGAUUUAGGAAGAAGGAAAAUAUAUAAAACUACCAACAACAACAAAGCAAAUAAUUUUUCAUUUUCAUUAGAAAGAAAAAUGUCAAACAAAUUACUAGCAUUGUUGUUGUUGGUUUGUGUUGUAACUGUUCAAGGAGGGAAAUUGAUGACCCCAGAAGCAUGCUACAGUUAUUGCUACAAAUCCAUGAUGUACCCCAGAGUCAUUGCACAUCCUAUAUGUAAAUUUCGUUGUAAAUACCCCAUGUACGAAAACGAGCCGGUUAAGCCUACAUGAGAAGCCUAGCACGUAAGGAAAGCUGGUACUCCGGCAAGUUUUCCGAUCCCAAUACCCAAAAAUCAUUGAGAAAGUAAAAUUUUGUGAAAGUUGUUGAAAUGGCAUGAUGAACAAGAAGAAUUCAAGAAAAGCACUAGGCUUUGUCAUGAAUCUAUGUUUUAUCAUUAGUUCGUGUGGAUCUCCGUCCAUUUUCCUCUUCCUUGUCAUUCGUAACCACUAUAUGUUAAAUUCUUUAUGAUUCUCUUA